rnacentral:rRNA from 1 species
AACGAACGCUGGCGGCAGGCCUAACACAUGCAAGUCGAACGAGCUGAGACCUUCGGGUCUCGAUGCUAGUGGCGCACGGGUGAGUAACGCGUGGGAACGUACCCUUUAGUACGGAAUAACCCAGGGAAACUUGGGCUAAUACCGUAUACGCCCUUCGGGGGAAAGAUUUAUAGCUAAAGGAUCGGUCCGCGUCUGAUUAGGUAGUUGGUGAGGGAACGGCUCACCAAGCCGACGAUCAGUAGCUGGUCUGAGAGGAUGAUCAGCCACACUGGGACUGAGACACGGCCCAGACUCCUACGGGAGGCAGCAGUGGGGAAUAUUGGACAAUGGGCGAAAGCCUGAUCCAGCCAUGCCGCGUGAGUGAAGAAGGCCUUCGGGUUGUAAAGCUCUUUCGACGGGGACGAUGAUGACGGUACCCGUAUAAGAAGCCCCGGCAAACUUCGUGCCAGCCGCCGCCGUAA